UACGUAGGGGGCAAGCGUUGUCCGGAAUCAUUGGGCGUAAAGCGCGUGUAGGCGGCUAGAUAAGUCUGCUCUGAAAGCCCGGGGCUCAACCCCGGGAGGCGGGUGGAUACUGUCUAGCUCGAGUCCGGAAGAGGAGUGUGGAAUUCCUGGUGUAGCGGUGGAAUGCGUAGAGAUCCGGAAGAACACCGGUGGCGAAGGCGGCCUGCUGGGCAGUAGCUGACGCUGAGGCGCGACAGCGUGGGGAGCAAACAGG
rnacentral:rRNA from 1 species